UUCUAUUUCUCGCUCCUGCUCCUCCGUGGAGAGGUGUUUUCUGCCAUAAUUGUGAGUUUCCUGAGGCCUUCCCAGCCCUGCAGAACUGUUGAAGGAGACAUCUACGUUGGCGGUCUUGGGGACUCCUGCAGCCAAUUGAAAGCUGCCUUCUACUGAAUGAGGAAGAGAACAGACACUUGGCUGAAUGAAGUACUGCAGGAGACUCACGUGCACUUUGAAGAAAG